rnacentral:lncRNA from 1 species
AACCAAAAACCAUUCCUAACCCCAAAACACAUCUCAUACACUUCAUCCACCUUUGUGCCGCAGCACGAAGAAAGAAAGAAGGUCUUGUGGAUGUUCGAGCUUGAUUGUUAAAGCAUUACAGGUGUAAUUCGUUCUAUAUUUACAAUGUGUAAUUUCUUUUUCUUUCAUUUUGCUGUGAACAUGAGUGGCUAAACCCCUAUUUAGCUAGGGGGAAAUUCGAAGCCAUGAACAUCCUUGAGAUAUGAAUUGAUAUCUUCCAAUUGGGAUUUGAUAAGUUGUGAAUGCAGUUCAAUUAACUGUUUUCUUCAAAACUAAUUCUUGUAUGUUGAUUAGGGAUGCAUACUUAGUUUUCAUGCAUGAAUUUGAUGCUAGAAUAUAAAUGAGUUUCACCUAAUUGUUACAAAUUUACAUUCAUGCGUCGCGUUAAUUGAAUUCUUGGCAAACGUAUCAUGCAUUCAUGGUUACUGUGGAUGCAAAUUUCUUCCUCCUCGAUCUUGGACGAUUUUGCACCUACAAAACAAUUAACACCUUAGGUUAAGGCCAAGAGCCUUACGCGCCCACGAUG